rnacentral:rRNA from 1 species
UGAGUACGAGAUGCUACGGCAUCGAAGCAGUCUAUGUCAUACUUCCAAGAAAAGCUUGCAAUGUCAUAAACAAAUAAUGCCUGUACCAUAACCGACACAGGUGGGUAGGUAGAGUAUACUAAGGGGCGCGAGAUAACUCUCUCUAAGGAACUCGGCAAAAUGACUCCGUAACUUCGGGAGAAGGAGUGCCUUAUUUUUAUAAGGUUGCAAUAACAAGAUCCAAGCAACUGUUUACCAAAAACACAGGUCUCCGCUAAGUCGUAAGACGAUGUAUGGGGGCUGACGCCUGCCAGUGCCAGAAGGUUAAAGAAGUUGGUUAGCAUUAGCGAAGCUGAUAACUGAAGCCCUGGUGAACGGCGGCCGUAACUAUAACGGUCCUAAGGUAGCGAAAUUCCUUGUCGGGUAAGUUCCGACCCGCACGAAAGGCGUAAUGAUUUGGAUACUGUCUCGGAGAGGGGCUCGGUGAAAUAGACUUGUCUGUGAAGAUGCGGACUACCUGCACCUGGACAGAAAGACCCUAUGAAGCUUUACUGUAACUUGAGAUUGAAAUUGGACUUUAUCUGCGCAGUAUAGGUGGGAGACGUUGAAAAUAUUCUUGCGGAAAUAUUGGAGUCAUCAGUGAGAUACCACUCUUAUAAUGUUAGAUUUCUAACUUUGUAUCAUUAUCUGGUCAAAGAACAGUUUCAGGCGGGCAGUUUGACUGGGGCGGUCGCCUCCCAAACGGUAACGGAGGCGCACAAAGGUUUCCUCUGAACGUGUAGAAAUCGUAUCUAGAGUGUAAAGGCAUAAGGAAGCUUGACUGUGAGACCUACAAGUCGAGCAGGGACGAAAGUCGGUCUUAGUGAUCUGACGGUGCUGAGUGGAAAGGCCGUCACUCAACGGAUAAAAGUUACUCUAAGGAUAACAGGCUGAUCUCCCCCAAGAGUUCACAUCGACGGGGAGGUUUGGCACCUCGAUGUCGGCUCAUCGCAUCCUGGGGCGGUAGUACGUCCCAAGGGUUGGGCUGUUCGCCCAUGAAAGCGGUACGCGAGCUGGGUUCAGAACGUCGUGAGACAGUUCGGUCCAUAUCCGGUGUAGGCGUUAGAAUAUUGAGAGGAGCCUUCUUUAGUACGAGAGGACCGAGAAGGACAUGCCUCUGGUGUACCAGUUAUCGUGCCAACGGUAAACGCUGGGUAGCCAUGUAUGGAGAGGAUAACCGCUGAAAGCAUCUAAGUGGGAAGCCCACCUCAAGAUAAGUAUUCUCA